UACGUAGGGGGCGAGCGUUGUCCGGAUUGACUGGGCGUAAAGCGCGCGCAGGCGGCCUGACGCGCCGGCCGUGAAAGCCCCCGGCUCAACCGGGGCGGGUCGGUCGGGACGGUCAGGCUGGAGGGUGUCAGAGGGGGGUGGAAUGCCGCGUGGAGCAGUGAAAUGCGUAGAGAUGCGGCGGAACACCGGCGGCGAAGGCGGCCCCCUGGGGCACAUCUGACGCUGAGGCGCGAAGGCCGGGGGAGCGAACGGGAUUAGAUACCCCGGUAGUCCCGGCAGUAAACGAUGGAUGCUGGCUGUUGGCGGUUUGACCCCGUCAGUGGCUGAGCUAACGCGCAAGCAUCCCGCCUGGGGAGUACGGCCGCAAGGCUAAA
rnacentral:rRNA from 1 species